GACGAACCGUGCGAACGUUGUUCGGAAUCACUGGGCUUAAAGGGCGCGUAGGCGGCAUAGCAAGUCCGGGGUGAAAGCCCCCGGCUCAACCGGGGAAGUGCCUUGGAAACUGCUGUGCUCGAGGGAGGUAGGGGUCGAGGGAACUUCUGGUGGAGCGGUGAAAUGCGUUGAUAUCAGAAGGAACGCCGGUGGCGAAAGCGCUCGACUGGACCUUUUCUGACGCUGAGGCGCGAAAGCUAGGGGAGCAAACGGG
rnacentral:rRNA from 1 species